UACGUAGGGGGCAAGCGUUGUCCGGAAUCAUUGGGCGUAAAGCGCGCGUAGGCGGCCCGGUAAGUCCGCUGUAAAAGUCCAGGGCUCAACCCUGGAAAGCCGGUGGAUACUGUCGGGCUAGAGUCCGGAAGAGGCGAGUGGAAUUCCUGGUGUAGCGGUGGAAUGCGCAGAUAUCAGGAGGAACACCGGUGGCGAAGGCGGCAUCCUGGACCGGCAUUGACGCUGAGGCGCGAAAGCCAGGGGAGCAAACGGG
rnacentral:rRNA from 1 species